UUCGGUCAUUGGAGCGAGGUGGAACCACCUUUUUCCAUUCCGAACAAAGAAGUGAAACGCCUCAGCGCCGACAAUAGUUCUACCGCAGGGUGGAUUGAAGAUAGGUCGUGGCCGGAA
rnacentral:rRNA from 1 species